UGCCUACGGGGCGCAGCAGUGGGGGAUAUUGCACAAUGGGGGAAACCCUGAUGCAGCGACGCCGCGUGGGCGAAGAAGUAUUUCGGUACGUAAAGCCCUAUCAGCAGGGAAGAAGAAAUGACGGUACCUGAGUAAGAAGCCCCGGCUAACUACGUGCCAGCAGCCGCGGUAAUACGUAGGGGGCAAGCGUUAUCCGGAUUUACUGGGUGUAAAGGGGGCGCAGACGGCGAUGCAAGCCAGGAGUGAAAGCCCGGGGCCCAACCCCGGGACUGCUCUUGGAACUGCGUGGCUGGAGUGCAGGAGGG
rnacentral:rRNA from 1 species